rnacentral:ncRNA from 1 species
CUACGGACUUAAGAAAUUGAGCCUUAGAGGAGAAAUCCUGUAAGUGUAAGUUCUCAAAUUCAGGGAAACCUAAAUCUGAUAACAGACAAGGCAAUCCUGAGCCAAGCCAAAUUGGUCACUUGUCAUAUGUUAUUUGCCAGUUAUAACUAGCAGGUAAUAAAUAACAGAGGGCUAAUACGGAAGGUGCAGAGACUCGACGGGAGCUACCCUAACGUAAAGCCGAGGGUAAAGAGAGAGUCCAAUUCUCAAAACCUAACAU